rnacentral:rRNA from 1 species
GACGAACGCUGGCGGCGUGCUUAACACAUGCAAGUCGAACGGAAAGGCCCUGCUUUUGUGGGGUGCUCGAGUGGCGAACGGGUGAGUAACACGUGAGUAACCUGCCCUUGACUUUGGGAUAACUUCAGGAAACUUGGGCUAAUACCGGAUAGGAGCUCCUGCUGCAUGGUGGGGGUUGGAAAGUUUCGGCGGUUGGGGAUGGACUCGCGGCUUAUCAGCUUGUUGGUGGGGUAGUGGCUUACCAAGGCUUUGACGGGUAGCCGGCCUGAGAGGGUGACCGGCAACAUUGGGACUGAGAUACGGCCCAGACUCCUACGGGAGGCAGCAGUGGGGAAUAUUGCACAAUGGGCGGAAGCAUGAUGCAGCAAAGCCGCGUGCGGGAUGACGGCCUUCGGGUUGUAAACCGCUUUAGCCUGUGACGAAGCGUGAGUGACGGUAAUGGGUAAAGAAGCACCGGCUAACUACGUG